rnacentral:ncRNA from 1 species
AAAAUAUAAUAUUCUCAAGCUAACGUAUCUAAGGAUAAUAAUCUAUGAUACCUAGCCAGGUAAUUUAUAUUACCUCGGGUUAAUAUGGAAACAUGUUGGCCUUCCAUUAUUUGAAAAGAGAAUCUAUUAUUAGUUAA